ensembl:snoRNA LOC120093989 small nucleolar RNA SNORA17
UCUGCCCCUGGAGGUAAUGCAUGUGUGCCUGCUGUGUCACAUGUGUGUCAGUAGAUGGCAAAGAGGAGAGAGGCUCAGUGUUCUGACCUAAGAACAUCUGAAUGAUUAGGAGCCUUCUACC